UUAGAGUCUACAUUAGCUUAGGGCACUAGCGUUAACGCCUGGUACAGCCGUUGCACCCGUUACCCAAGAGUCGUGGCCAUUUGCGUCCGACAGAAUGCGUCCUCACUGCCAGCUUCUCUCAGGGUCGACUCGAUGCAGGCCAGAUGACUGCUGGGUGCCUUCACUGCCGUAAAUGGCACAGCAGGAAGAUUAGAAAUAAAACUUGGUAAAAUGUGAGAACCUCCGCCCUAACCUAGGAGAUGAGCGGUCAGGGAUUGAACGUUGGUGGAAAACAGAAGCUCCUACUGUUUGCCAGGUAGGAACUGUAAUGUGUCCUUACCAGCCUUGUGGAAGGUGCCGGAAGGCCGGGAAGCACAUUUCACAGAUUCCCUUGGCAGCAGGGUUCUGCCAGUGAAAGGUACUUGUGUGAAAUUUGGAAGGUGAAAGGAGGUGGAAGUCAUUGUUUUCUGUUCUGUAGCAGCAGACACGCAGGCUGCAUGUCAGACUCCAUAGUCCCCCACCAGUCAGCAGCCUUGGGGCUGAAAUCGCCUCAGAAGUGGCUUCCCAAAGUUUCCUGACUGCUGAAUGACAGCAGCGACUUUGAAUCUAUGGAAAGCAGCUGUGACAAAGAAACCUGAA